rnacentral:rRNA from 1 species
GAUGAACGCUAGCGUACAGGCUUAACACAUGCAAGUCGAGGGGCAGCGGGAUUGAAGCUUGCUUCAAUUGCCGGCGACCGGCGCACGGGUGAGUAACGCGUAUCCAACCUUCCGCUUACUCGGGGAUAGCCUUUCGAAAGAAAGAUUAAUACCCGAUGGUAUCUUAAGCACGCAUGAGAUUAAGAUUAAAGAUUUAUCGGUAAGCGAUGGGGAUGCGGCCCAUCAGGUAGACGGCGGGGUGACGGCCCACCGUGCCGACAACGGGUAGCCGGGUUGAGAGACCGACCGGCCAGAUUGGGACUGAGACACGGCCCAG